rnacentral:misc_RNA from 1 species
GUUUCUACUCGGGCCUUCCCUGAGUUUGAUUCGAGCGUAGAGCUAGCGGCCAGAUUAGUUGCUAGAUGCAAGUCUACAGCGGACGGGUAAAUGGACAGACGAGCACUCGAGAGUAUUAUUUAAUCUGCAGUAAUUCCCGUCAUUGUAAUCUGUGAGAUGAGCGGUCGGACGGGCGGUUCAAUUAGUUGAAGAACAGUCACUUAUGGCGCGUUGAAUGGCUGGAAAAAUUGGCAAAAGAGCGGACAAUAGAGGAGGCGAAAAGGCGGCCAGAAAGAACUUUAAGACCUCGCGCGAGAGUGUGCUUUUCAGUCAGUAUUCCGUCUGCUUUUUGUGACGGUUUUUCCGCCCAGUGGGGCCCAAGUUGUGCCUAUUGUGUGGGCUACCGGACGGCUGCAGUUAGGGCGGAUCAGUCCCGAAGAUAACUUGAGCCAUUUGGGACGACAACUUUACAGCACUUGCUGAUCGCAUCCUGCAUAGCGGGCUUGUGAAAAUGUGCGAAACUAGUGCGGAAAAUUCGGGUCGAACGGUGAAAAGGUACCGCGAAGAUUGAUUGAAUGCGAAGUCUCGUCCUGUGCAGUGCAGAGUGCGUUUUCGCGGAGCAACCGCCUGACCUGGAAACACCCCGUAUGGAAAUCGGGAUUGAAAACGCGAAAAAGGAGUCUGGAUAAAAUGCAAGAGUGGAUGAUUGUGAGAUAAUGUAAUGGAAAGCAAGAGUGACAGUGGUAGCUGUGGGUUAUUUGGAAGGAUUCGCGUAUGACUCCGAAACGGAUGUGGUAUUACCCACGCCUACCGACUCGAAUGCGAUUCAGGAUUCUAGUUAAGACCAGAUUUCAGUUGGCCAGUUAGCGAAAUAGUGGCAAGUGACGGUUAGGCGUACGAACGAAAGGCCCGAAAUCGGUAAGGACCUACGGCAACAAGGAUUGUCGCGAGUAGACUAGCCCUUUAGGACCCUUCAGCUGACAACACGAGCAUGCAGGAGGCUCUUCAAAUGUUCCAUGUUCCACGUUUCAUCAGCACCUGGCGUAAACUGUAAAUAAAAUGUAAAAUAUUCUGUUUUCAUCUGACAACGUAAAAAAAACGGAAUAAAUUUAUGAUUAUUAAGAGAAAAGCUUUACAAUUUAGAUAAAAAAAAAUUAGUGUUCUGGCAAAAAAAAAAAGAAAACAAGAUAUUAGAAAACUUUGUAUCUAACAAUGACGGAAAGUAGCGUUCUGUUGCAUAGUAACCGGAAUAAAACGAUAGUGGAUAUUUCAAAUUUAAUAUAAAAUGAACAAUUCAUAAUACAACUAACACACUAGCACAUAUAAUUAAAUGAAAAUAAUAUAUAUUCGUAGUAAAUAAAUUAGUUUCUUGUUGUUGUUAAUACGUUUUGUAUUUUGUAAAGAGAAAAAGAUAAAUAGGAAGAACGACUGUAGCCGGUCUGAAUUACAAUUUUAAUAAAAAUAGAUAUGUAUCGGUAUAUCAGAGUAGAUAAUUGGCCAGUUCGGAAUAAUAAUUAUAUAAAUGUAUGUUAAUUAUAACAACACCUAACGGAAAAUAGUAAAAUUAGUGAAUUUUCAAGGAAACGAUAAUCAUUCAAUUGAUUCGAUUCGUCGUGUAAACUGAACAUUGGAAGAUAUUUUCGAUUAAAUUAUGGAGAUAGCAGAAAUAAAUAUUCAGCUGGUUGAAGAUUACGACUACAAGUGAUUAGGACGUGUUGUACCCAACCGCUCUGUUACAGACGAUAUGGGCACAACAUGGCCUCAGAACUAUUGUGCGAAACAAAAGAAUCCCAGAAGUUUGAAUUCAGCAAACACCAAGUCUGCUUCGACUAUCAUCGUCCCGCCCCCACGGGUCAGCGGCAACCUGAGCCAUCACGAGGGUCAACUAUUCAACAAUCACGCUCUUCCCAGCAUCCCCAGUUCUCAGAAACAUCGAACGAAGCCGAUUCGAAAAAAUGUCACGAGUUUCCAGGUGAUAGUUGUUUUGAUAGCAUCAAUAAUGAGGAAUUUACUAGUGAGCGAGCGGCAUCAGCACAUGCAACAAACAUUUUGGCCACGUUCAAGGACGAAUAUGCAAUGGAGGGCAAAACGCGAAAACUUGUGCGAUCGUCACCGGCGUCAAAUUAUGGAGAUUUUAACGAAAUUGUUUUUUAUUGUAGUGAAUUUCGCGGGGACAUGGAUUCGACGAUCAUUACAUGCAAUACAGGGAAUCAUAAGCAAUGUUGUAAGAGAUUACUAUGUAUCAAUGGGAAAGUGGGAGGGGAGAGUAUAUCAGCAGCGGUCGAGCGUGAGAGCCAAAUGUAUACAGGGCAAUGCCUUUGCCAGUGUUGCUUCACUGAAUAUUUUCAAAGCUGCCAAACGAAUUGUUGUUCGCUUAGUAAAGACAAAGAUGCUCACAACUAUAACCUUUCUACGACGACGAAUACUAAGAACCCUAAUAAUAAAAAAACAUAUAGUAAGGAUAAUAGUAGUUAUAAAACGUUAUCACAAUGUCCGAAUAAGUGUUUUGUUGAAUUUUAUUACGGAAAUUUUAAAACGCGUUACUGUUGCUGCCAAUGUAAAUGUUCUGUUACUGCCACCACUUGGCCACGAUCCAAAUCAUUAUCAACAUCAUCAUCACAAUCAUCAAAUCUAUCCUUCGUGUGCUCAGCGAAAGCGGUCAAACCACCACUGCACCAAUGCACAUCAGCCAGCGCGAAGUCAAAAGCCAAAAGGAAAGCUAAAGCCAUGCUGCCUACAGAUCCUAGAACAGCUAAAACAAAAAGUGUAUCGCCAAAACCAGAGCAAGUCCAUAACAGUAGAGAUCCUCAAGAGAUCCAGCAAUAUUGCUCCAAAUCAAAUCGAUCACCGACAGUUACAACAACAACUGUUACCAAUGAACGUCCAUCCUCAGCAUCACCUAGUGCAGCAACCAGCCUCUCAGCGAAAUUGCACGCCUAUCAACCGAUCAGACAAUAUCAUCAAGGAGACCCGGUUUUGUCGAAACUCCAAGAGAUCAGGACGAGCACCGUGUACGCCCUGGGCGAUCUGCAGAAGCUUUUGCGAGCUCUACUACCAUUUUUCCUGCUCUUUAAUAUGCUGCCUCUACUUUAUGCAGAAUGCGAUCAAACAUUCAUCUCGCGUGCCGGAGGACCUCAGAACGGAACCUUCACGGCACCUCUCCUUCAUAAUCCAGCGAAUCAUACCAGACAAUGUUUGUACAUCUUCUUAGCAGGCCCCGGGCAGCGUGUUGAAGUAGUUUUUACGACUUUUAACUUGAGAGGAACACCACCUGAUGGAUCUGCUGUGGGCGAGAUACCAGCAUGUGCACACGAAUACAUGGACAUUUAUGCCGAGGUUCAAACAUCAGAUGCAGCCGAUCUAAUUAAUUCGCCAUUUGGUGGACGGUAUUGUGGCCCGAUACCACCACGUCGUCGAAUAUCGAUGUAUCGAGCAAUUGCUCUAUCCUUUUUUACGAAUAAAAACGAAACACUACCUGACUUGUUUACAGGACGUUAUUCAUUUAUAAAUGCAUCGGAAUAUGAAAUUGGUAUACCAAUAUCCGGAUCACCAUGUUCCUACACUGUCACUCCUAGUUCGAAUAAAACAGGUGCUUUAAUAUCGCCAACUUAUCCAGGUGCCUAUCCGAAAGAUUUAUCGUGCACAUAUACAUUUCUCGGUGAAACGAAUCAAAGAGUUAGAUUAGAAUUUCGUGAUUUUGAUCUAUUUUUUGGAGGACCACAUUGCCCAUUUGAUUUCGUUAAAGUAUAUGAUGGUCCAGACAAUUCAUCGGCAUUAAUAGGAACAUAUUGCGGUCAACAAAGAAAUUUAGUUAUAUAUUCAAGCGAAUCGAGUCUAUAUGUUCAUUUUUUUACGCUACCGAGAACAGCGAAUACACAAAAUCGUGGCUUUAAAGGAAUUUAUGAAUUUAGCGAAAGUUUUGUUAAACUAGAUUUUAUACAACAAAACGAUGGCAUUCACAUGCGUGGCUCAGAAUGUGAUCAGAAAGUUUUAUCGAAGAAGCAAUCCGUAGGAUAUGUUUAUUCUCCUAAUUAUCCUUAUCUGUAUAUACCGAAAACAGUUUGUAGAUAUUUUAUAUAUGGCAUGCAGGACGCGCAACAUUUAGAACGAGUUCGUUUAGAGUUUUUUCUUUUUGAUAUACCGAAGGUUGAACACAAAGAUAAAAGCGAAUCAAACUGCACAGAUGGCUACCUCAAAGUUUAUCUAAAAGGACAAGAAACUAUGGAUGCCUACGAUAAAUUCGAUCACGAACUGUGCGGCAAUGAAACACAUUCAGUAGUAAGUGAUGGACCUCGUCUUGCCAUGGUAUUCAGUUCCGGUGAAAUCCAGGGACGUGGUUUCAAAGCGAAAUAUACAUUCGAGACCGAAUAUAAAAUACCGGGAACUGCUGCCCCGGACGGGUCCUGUAGCUUCACGUAUCGAAGCUCGUCAAAGAAAAAAGGCGAUUUUAAUAGUCCAAGAUACCCUUCCAACUAUCCAUCCGAUACGAAUUGUUCAUAUAUGUUUAUGGCAAUGUCCAAUGAGCAAGUAACAAUUGUUUUCGAUCAUUUUCGUGUGAAGGCGGACAAUGUAAAUACAACAGGUGGAGCAUAUGGUGCAUCCGUUUGUUUCGAAGAUUGGCUAGAAAUCUAUGUAUUAUAUCGUGAUGGUUCGGAUCGUUUUCUUGGUCGAUAUUGUGGAAUGACAGCCCCUGGUCCAGUCGAGAGCCCCAAGGGGGCUGUUGGUAUCCGAGUUUUAUUACAUACCGACCUGGAAAAUGUUGCGAGUGGUUUCAAAGCGCGCUAUGUAUUCGAAACUGCCAAAUCCGAAUUUGGUGAUUGCGGUGGAAAUUAUUCGGGUCAAGACUCAGGUAUUAUAACGUCACCAAAUUAUCCGGCUAAUUAUAAGGGUCCCGCUAAAAAUAUGGCAUCGAGUGCCUGUAACUGGUAUAUAACUGCCCGGUCUGGAUAUAAAAUUUCAAUUAAUUUUGAAUUUUUCUCGGUCGAAGGCGAUCCGCCUGGACGCGGAUGUGCAGCUGCGGUUCUUCGCCUUUGGACCAACCUAGAAUCUGAAGCAUCGCCAAUUGAAUUAUGCGGAGAGAAAAACGCUGAUGAUUGGCAUUAUAUAUCGCAAGGACAAUCGGUUAGAAUAAGUUUUAUAACCACUGAUAAAACUAUCGGUGCACAGGGCUUCCGUAUUGUUUGGACUGAAAUCCAAGAUUCUGGCCCGGGGCCACCAUCUUCCAUGUCAGCACAAUGCGAAUCAACCUAUCAUUUUGAAUGCGCUAGCGGCUAUUGUAUAGCUGACAAAUUGCGCUGUGACGGUGUUAAAAAUUGCGGGCCGAAGGACGAUAGCGAUGAAACGAACUGUGAGUCGUAUCACGGAGGCCCCCAAAGAGGAUCACGGCGUUCUUAUAAUUUGCAUCAUAGCCGCCGUCUCGUUCCUAACUUGUCUCCUAUGCACACUUUGUCAUCGCAAAAGAAAACGACGGCACCAUAGACAACUAGGCCUUCAUCGAAAUGCAGCUCAUUAUGAUUCAACAACAAGCGCUACAGUAUUGAAUCCAUUUACAGGUUUAAGUUCCAGUCGACGACAUUUACAAGGACCCGCUGGUAGUUUAUCAGAUAGUUUACACGGCAUAAAUACGGGAGCGUUAACAAUACCGCCAGCACCAUCGCCACCAACCAGU